UAUGGCGACCGGCGCACGGGUGAGUAACACGUAUCCAACCUGCCGAUGACUCGGGGAUAGCCUUUCGAAAGAAAGAUUAAUACCCGAUGGCAUAGUUCUUCCGCAUGGUAGAACUAUUAAAGAAUUUCGGUCAUCGACGGGGAUGCGUUCCAUUAGGUUGUUGGCGGGGUAACGGCCCACCAAGCCUUCGAUGGAUAGGGGUUCUGAGAGGAAGGUCCCCCACAUUGGAACUGAGACACGGUCCAA
rnacentral:rRNA from 1 species